UACGGAAGGCAGCAGUGGGGAAUAUUGCACAAUGGGCGCAAGCCUGAUGCAGCCAUGCCGCGUGUAUGAAAAAGGCCUUCGGGUUGUAAAGUACUUUCAGUCGUGAGGAAGGUGUUAAGGUUAAUAACCUUAGCAAUUGACGUUAGCGACAGAAGAAGCACCGGCUAACUCCGUGCCAGCGGCCGCGGUAAUACGGAGGGUGCGAGCGUUAAUCGGAAUUACUGGGCGUAAAGGGCACGCAGGCGGUUAAUUAAGUUGGAUGUGAAAUCCCCGGGCUUAACCUGGGAAUGGCAUUCAAGACUGGUUAGCUAGAGUCUUGUAGAGGGGGUAGAAUUCCAUGUGUAGCGGUGAAAUGCGUAGAGAUGUGGAGGAAUACCGGUGGCGAAGGCGGCCCCUGGACAAAGACUGACGCUCAUGUGCGAAAGCGUGGGGAGCAAACAGGGAUUAGAUACC
rnacentral:rRNA from 1 species